AUUUUGGACCAGCUGCAAACAGGAGAGAUGAGUCAUCAUCUGGAGCUCUUGAGGUCAUGGGAGGAUUCCAGAUACCCUUCUCCAGUACACACUCAAAACAUCCCAAGAGAAGAGGUAAAACCAUCCAGUGCAUAAUGUGCCAACAUCCAACUCCAGAAUCCUUCAGGAAUUUUGAAGACAAAGAAGACAAGGAAGGGAUGAUUACCUGAGCUGAGCUAUAUAAUAUUUAGUACAAAACUAGAAAUAGUGAUUGCUUCAGAGUCACUUAAAGGCAUCUUCCUGAGAAACAUCAUGCUCUUGCCAUUUUGCAAAAUUAUGUCCAAGAAAUGAAAUGAUUCUCAGCAUUCUUGAAUAUGUGAAGGAAUUUCUACUAUUUUAAGGAAACCAAUGCACUUCCCAGACUAGAGACUUGGCUUCCCAGAAUGGACCUUUGAAGAAAGAAGGAAGCCUGAAGAAUAAACAGACUGGUUGCUCAUUCAUCUCUCUUGUCAACAUUUGGAAAAAAGAAAAAGAAGAAAAGACUC